rnacentral:misc_RNA from 1 species
GCCCCGUUUUGAAUAUCCAAGAUGGCUGCUCUGUAGAGACAACUUUUACAGCUCAAUUGUUUGAAUGUACUCAUAAAAUGUAAACAAACAAAUGUUAGCCGUUCAGCUUCUGCCCAGUGAUUCAUGUACGAUAUAUAAUUAUAUCUCCAAGAUUUGACACUUGUGCGAUAAGUAAAAGUCGCCUAAAACGUUUAAUAUAUUGUUGAUGUGGACAAGACAGUUGGUGUUUACAUUGGUUUUUAAGUCCAAAGUGUUGUGUAUUUCGAGUGAUAUGUGUUGUAAGUGAAGGAAAGAGUGCAAUAUAAGUCAGGAUAUAACUAUACACCAGUGAAACACCAUCUUCUCAAGCACAAUUACCACAAGGGUGUGUAAUGAUGGCUCGGCUUGGUGGGGAGGGAAGGUAGCAGCGGCAUGUCACUGGUGGUACACAAGCUGGUGCUUAGUCCUGGUGGGGCCACCACCAACACACAGCCUCCCACCCAUCAUGUCACCCUCUCUGCUUACACGCACCCUCGGUCAAAUGUUUCAGACACUAUGGGUCGAGUGUUGGAUGGCCCAUCCAGUGGUUCCAUGAGCACACCACCCUCUUCCUCUUCUCCCUACUCAACCUCCUCAUCCUCAUCUUCCUCUUCGAAGCACAGUUCUACAUAUAAUUUACCCUUUGUGCUUCAAGACCAUAAUUAUGGUGCUCCUCCUCCUCCAACUCCACCUCAGUCCCCACCUCCCCUACCAUCUUCAUCAGGAUCAUCUGUGUACCACCACCCCUCUCAAUACUUGCAUCAACCCCAUCACCAGCACAACCCCCAGCCUCACCAGUCUAAUCAUCCUCACAGUUUACAGCAACAUACCCAACAAAAUACAAAUAAUCUAUAUCAUUCUCAACACAAACAGCAAUACCAUAAUCACCCUCAGCAAGCCACCUCUCAUGUCAAUCCUUCCCCUAGACUAGGGAUUAUUACUUCAUCAGGUCCUUCUGUCUCCGUGUCUGGCUUGUUGACUUCUCAUCCAAUUAAUACAAUGCCACCUCACCGCCAACAAUUUAUGCCACACCCUAAGACAAGCAUUUUCCCAUCACCUCACAUCCCCCCACCUCCAGUAGAGUUACACCAGUCCCCACCUACCAUCACAGGCCCCCCAUCCUCAACCACUGGGGCAGAAACAGAUGAUGAUUCACGUAUGAGUGAUCGAAGUUCAUCUGUUGGACCAUCUGGAGAAGAAACUGAAACUGCACCUGAGGGAGAAGGUGAUGAACAACCUGUAGAUGACUCCAUUACUCGAUGUGUCUGUGAUUUUUCCCAUGAUGAUGGAUACAUGAUCCAGUGUGAUAGAUGUUUUGUCUGGCAACAUGUAGACUGCAUGGAAAUAGACCGGGACAAUAUUCCUGAUGAGUACCUGUGUGAAGCAUGUGAUCUUAGACCUAUAGAUCGCUUCAAAGCUCGAGCACUGCAGAUUCGCAGAAGACAAGAAAUUAAGGCUCACCUUGCCAGUUCUUUCCGUUUUAGAUUGUCUUCUUCAGACUCUGACGACAAUAUCCCAAUGUCUAGUAAAGGGCGAGGAACUUUAGGGAAGAUUCCAGAAAGAAAGGUUGUAAAGAAAAAGAAGGUGAAACAAAUAAAAGACAUGAAGAAUGGACGCAAGGGUUCACUGUCGCUGUUGAAGAAAAGUAAUGUUGUCACCACUAGCAACAACAAUAUAAUUCCAGGCAUGGAAGAUAAGGAAAGAAGAAUGCUUGUAAAAAGAAGACGGAAAAGCAGUAGUAUGAGUGGUGGAGAAGGUGUAAGUGAUGACUCCAACAGUGGUCCAGUUGAGAGACUACGGGCAUGGGUAGAGGGCUAUGAGGUGGCAGUUACAAACCACUAUUCCCCAGAACUUCGUGCCAGGGUUCAUGCUGCUCGCAUUAAUGGCGUGUCUCCUGACUUAAGAGCUUCCACACAAGGAGCAGUUCUGGGUCACCGGUGCAAAGUUGUUGAGAAUCCCCAUCCACUCUUUGAUGUGUUUGAUUGUAAGAUUCUCGUAGCAGCUACCAGAUUAUGUAUAAAUACAGCCAUCACAGAGUUCCAAGGCAAGUACCUGUUGGCGUCACAAUGGAAUGCCCAGCAACCGGUGUCAGGCCAACCGUACCUGCCAUAUGUCUUACAGUACCACAUGCCGAAGGAGGGCCUCACCGUUUGUGUCGAUGCACGAACCUAUGGUAAUGAUGCCAGGUUCACGCGAAGAUCUUGUACACCUAAUGCUGAGGUACGACAUGUGGUAGAAAGAGGAUCCCUUCAUUUAUAUUUAGUUGCAACAAGAGAUAUUGAGGAGGGUGAAGAGGUCACUUUAGCCUUGGAGACUGCGAAUUCCAACCUGGAACUGAUGUGUUGCUUGUCAGAAGAGCAUGACUGCCAAGCUCCCCAGCCUUCAAAAGUUGAACAGACUUCUCCAGUGCCUACAACCCCUCAUAAGAAAAAUGGCCUCAUCCUGAGCAACAAGAAAACAUUUAAAAAGCAGCAGUUACAGCUACAACUCCGCACUAGUAAAAGAACCACAUCUACAGAAAGCCGCAAUAGUGAUAAUGUUAUCACACCCAGUGUAAAUAGUACUCCAGUAACGCCUCUUAAACAGAGACGGGCAUCAGGAUGUGGCAAAUCUCCUGCAAAGUCUCCUAGUGCAUCUGUAUCAAGUUCACCAGAAGACAGCGGGAAAGAUUCAACUCUCAACACACCACCAACAGCUGCAACUACUCCUGAAAUGCCUAAAUGUAUAGACAAACAGCAGCAACAGAAGAUGACACGUGAAGAGCGCAAAAUAGCUGCCUACAUGAAAGCCUUUGAACGAAUGGAGAAAGCUGCUCAACGAAGACAGGAGAUGGAAAAAAAGAAGGAGGAAGAUAAAGUCAAAGACCCAAAGGAUAAGGAUAAAAAACGUUGUGAUGGAGAGGAGGAGGACUGGGAGAAAACUAGUAGUGCUGAUGAGAGCGUGAGAAAUACACCUGGUGCUGAGCGUAGUAGACGUAAAGGAAAAAAAGGAAGAGGAAAGGGUAGUCCUCAGAAACGUACCAGUCAUCGUGUAGAUUCUACAGCAUCAGAUCUGACUGGAGAUGAAAGUAGCUGUGCUUCAGUAGGACUGAUGUCUCCCUUAGGGGCAUCCAUCGAGGGGAUUGCUCUUAACUUCAAUUCACCACCACAGGGGAGUUCUAAUGCUAUGGGAUUUAGAUUCCCUAAAACGAAGAAAGCACUUAUGAAUGAAUGGUUGAAUGAAAAUGUUGACCCAGUGCUCCCAGGUGGGAACAUAACCGGUGUUGCAGAACUUCCCUCUGGAGUACCAACCUGCUACAUGAGAUCACCAGCUACUCCUUUGAGAAGAUCUUCUGUAAACCAAUCAGUAAUACAGGGAACUAUUCUCAACUUGGAAAUGCCUGGUGGUUCUGCAAAGAAAAGAUGGUUAAGACAGGCCAUUAGUGAAGAAACUGAGUCACCUCAGUUCAAUGGCCUCUGCCCCAGUCCAAAUAGUAGACCAGACUCGCCUACUGGUGGCGGAGACUAUAUCACCCCUCUGAAGAAGAGAAGACUGGCUCGAGAAUCCAUGUCUUCUGAACUGUCAUCCACUCCACCCUCCACCCCCGUCCACUCCACCAGUUUGGAGGAGGAUAAAAUGAUUGAGGAGAUGGAAGCAGAGCUGGCUGAGGAAGCUGUAUCCAAGUUAAAACAAGAAGAUGGUAAUUAUUCAGAAGAUCCAGCAUGUCUUAUGAUUCAUGGAGUAAACCCUAGUGAGUUCCAUAAUACUAAAGACAGUUCUGCUAAAAUUAAGGAAAUGGUUAAUGAAGGAAAUGAAGAACUGAUUGCUGAAGAGGAUAAACAUUUUUUUGAUAGAAAUAUUAGGGAAAUAGAUAAGAAUGGAUUAUAUAGUGAAUUUCAAGAGGAUAUGCCAGGGACCAAAAUUAAAAAGGCAGAAGAAAUGUUGAAAAGAAAUGCAGUUCGUGAUUGUACUCUAAAGACAAGAUAUUCUGUUGGUUUUUCAGUGACAAAGACUUUAAAAGAAGAAAGUGAACAAGAGGACAAUGACAAUGAAGGGGUGGGUGAGAGAAAUGAACAAAUGGGGUUAAGAAGAGGGAGAAAAUACCAGCAAGAGACCAAGAGAGAGAGAAGGCAGCACAUAAUCAACAGAGAAAGAAAACAACAAGUGCCAAAGAGAGAAAGAAGGCAACAAUGUACUAAGAAAGGCAAGAGCUACCAGAUGGAAACCAAAUGCGAGAGAAAUCCACAGAGACAGGUGAAAAAAAAGAGAGGUCAGCUGGUUGUAAUAAAGGUGAGAGAGGAAAGACAAGAAAUAAAGGAAGAAGCCAAGCAAGAAAAGAAAAAGGAAUUUAACAAGUUGGAAAUUAAGGAAGAAAUAAAACAGAAACUAAAGAAAGCAACAGAUAGACUAGAAACACAGAUUGAUAUAGAAAAAGAGACUGUAAAGAAAGAAGUAGAGGAACAAGAACUGAGAGAUAAAAUUGAUGUCAGAGAAAUAGGGAAAGAAACAGAAGAACACAAGGUAACGAUAGACAAGGCAAUAGAAGUGAGAAAAGAGAAAAAUGUAUCAAAGGAGGUGGGAGAAAAAAUAGAGGAAGAAGUAAAGUUAGAAAGGGUUGAAAUGUUAAGUGAAAAGGAAAGCCAACUGGAGGAAACCUUGCCAGAAAAUGAAAGCAAGGACAUAAAGAGAAUAGACAAGCAACCAGAAGAAGUAAAAAUUGAAGAAAACCAAGAAAUUGAAGGAAAGAUAACGAACCAAGGGGAAGGUAAUGUAAGCCAGGAUAAGGAAAAAAAUAAGAGAGAGAAAGAUAAGAAAACUGGCAAAAAAACUAAAGUUGUACAUAGUGUAAAAAGAGAGAAAGAUGAACAAGAGGAACUAAAGGAAGAUGCUAAGGUUGAUGUUCAGGGUGACACCAUUGAACAGCUGCCCCAAGUAAGUGAGACAAGUGAUCAAGAUUGUGUGAAAGAAGAACUCCCUGCUCAGCCAAAGUUAGACGGAACACAGCGAUCCUCACCAAGAAGAAGAAGAGUAAAAAUUUGUCCAAAAGAAUUAAAGCAAGUAUUGACAGAAGUAAAGUAUACACAACAAAAUUUGAAUAAAGAAUGUGGUAAAGUAGAAAAACAAAAGAAAGGAGAAGAGGAGCAGCAGAUGGUAAAGAGUGAGGUAGAGCAACAUGUGGUUGUCAAGACUGAGGAAAGUCAAGUGCAGUGUGUAAAUCAAGAUAAAAAUGAACACUUGGAUACAAAGAAUGAUGAAGAACCAGUGACAGAAGUAGAGGAAUCUAACCUUCAAACUGUGGGUGAAAAUGCUAUAACACAAGACAUUAUAACUGAAAAAUAUGAAGAACAAGAGUCAAAUACUAAGAAUGAUAAAGACUUAGUGAUAAAGAUUAAAAAUGAAGAACCAGAAGAAGAAGCAAGGGAAGAUGAAAAACAGGAUAAUGAUUUUGGAGAACUUGGUGAUUUAAGAAAUAGUGUUAAAUAUGAAAGAAAAGUGUUGGACAAAGAUCUCAAAACUAAUACUCCUCUUUCUGAAGAAACUCAACCCACAGAACUAAGAUGUCAAAGUCCAUUAGCUGUUACAACCUUUUUGUCAUUGAAGCAAAGUAAUAGCUCAGAGAUAGAUGAAGAGAUGCCAAAGAGACAUGAAACUAGAUCUCCUGAGAGCCCAAGACCUAUUUCACCUGAAUUGAGAGGACCCCAUACUCCAGAUGGACCUGCUCCAACUACCCCUGAUGAGUCAGAAGUAUCCCCACAAAGUCCCGGAUCACCAAUACAUUGUCAGAGAAACCCUUCACCAGCCCAGGAAGUUGAAGCAGAAAGGGAGAGAACUCUUGAGGGGGAAAGCCUUUCAGAGAGAAGAUCACGAUCACGAACAAGAGGGCCUUGUACACCCCCAUCUCCUCCACCUUCAAUGCAGGAGGAAAAUGCUGAUGAUGAACGACAAGAUGGGGAGGCUUCCAAUAAGUCUUCAUCACAGCCAACACUACAAGAAGAGCCAAAACCUGCACCUAUUAAAAGGAAGUUAUCGAUCUUGGAGUACCGCAAGAGGAAAAGUGUGAGCAGUGAGGGUGAUAAUAGAGGAUUAAGUGGACCAUCAGACUCAUCACCACCACGUUCCUUAUCACUUACAUGUUCCACAGUAUUGUCUGCUCCUUGCGCAGACUCUUCUUUCUCAUCUAAUCCUUCCUGUUCCUCCAAUAUAUCAACACGAGAACCCUCUAUUUCUCCUACAUAUUUCUCUCCAUCAAAGUUGGCUCAGACUGAAGCUGAUGAAUCUUCCCCAGAUCUUGCACUCUCUCCUAUACAACCACUUAUGAUCACCCCAUUAUCCAUUGUCCUUGAUAGCAAAUCUACCAAAGAUGAAGUUAAAAAUGAUGCAGAGAGUAACAACAACAAUAAUGGAGGAGGUAGCAUUAAUGACAACAGCAAACACGGCAUCAAGAGUAGUAAUAAUAGUGUAAACAAUAGUUGUAGUAGUACCACCAUCACCACAGUUGCAACAAAUGCUUUAACUACAACUAACAGUAUAGCAGUCACAAACACUGCUGGAACAACUACAAGUACCCCACUUACUACCAUCACUAGUAAUGCCACAUCUCAGGAUGUGAAAUGGAAUGCAGCACCCACACUUCUGGAACGCCAGAGAGAAAAUUUAACAGCGAGACUACGGCGGGAAUUUGGAUUAUGUAUAUCUGAUGAUGAUGAAGAUAAAUCAGGGUUGCGGCUGGGGUGUACAAGUUUGAUAGGACGUCCGUCACCUCCCCUGCUUCCCCCACCCGCCCCUUUGGUCUCUUCCUCCUCCUCCCCCUUGUCUCCACGUGUCCGUAAACUUUCGGGGCUACAGCCUGGGCCAGAUGAUUCUCACUGUUGAUUCAUUGACAGAAUAACGCCAUCCUACUGCAGCAAACGAUUCCCCAUCUUCAACUGAGAGAUGGCGAGGAUCGUGAUAGAAAUCACCGUCGUCACAAGGAAAAGAACUUACCACCACCACCACCUCCACCAACAGCAC